GUCGCCGCCAGAGCAUUUCCACGCUUCUAAGUAUAAGUGUGUUAUUAGGAACGACAAGGGACAUGUACUCGGAUCAUUUGAUAAUAGAUCAAACUCGAGGCCAACAAAGGAUCUUCAAAAAAUAUUAGUGAAUGAAAGUUUGUUGUUUGGUCUUAGAUAUGGGGUUUGGGUAUAUCAUCUUAGAAACGAAUUGGCUUCAUACAUUUCACAUAUUGCAGUCAAUUAAUAUCCUAACGAAUAAACUCUGUUUACCAAUUAUUAUAAAACAUUUGCUAGAUAGAUACUUAAGUA